rnacentral:rRNA from 1 species
UACGAAGGGGGCUAGCGUUGCUCGGAAUCACUGGGCGUAAAGGGUGCGUAGGCGGGUCUUUAAGUCAGGGGUGAAAUCCUGGAGCUCAACUCCAGAACUGCCUUUGAUACUGAAGAUCUUGAGUUCGGGAGAGGUGAGUGGAACUGCGAGUGUAGAGGUGAAAUUCGUAGAUAUUCGCAAGAACACCAGUGGCGAAGGCGGCUCACUGGCCCGAUACUGACGCUGAGGCACGACAGCGUGGGGAGCAAACAGG